rnacentral:rRNA from 1 species
CCUACGGGUGGCAGCAGUGAGGAAUAUUGGUCAAUGGACGAGAGUCUGAACCAGCCAAGUAGCGUGAAGGAUGACUGCCCUAUGGGUUGUAAACUUCUUUUAUAUGGGAAUAAAAUGUUCCACGUGUGGGAUUUUGUAUGUACCAUAUGAAUAAGGAUCGGCUAACUCCGUGCCAUAAGCCGCGGUAAUACGGAGGAUCCGAUCGUUAUCCGGAUUUAUUGGGUUUAAAGGGAGCGUAGGUGGAUUGUUAAGUCAGUUGUGAAAGUUUGCGGCUCAACCGUAAAAUUGCAGUUGAAACUGGCAGUCUUGAGUACAGUAGAGGUGGGCGGAAUUCGUGGUGUAGCGGUGAAAUGCUUAGAUAUCACGAAGAACUCCGAUUGCGAAGGCAGUUCACUGGACUGCAACUGACACUGAGGCUCGAAAGUGUGGGUAUCAAACAGGAUUAGAUACCCUGGUAGUC